GUGUCAGCAGCCGCGGUAACACGUAGGAGGCGAGCGUUAUCCGGAUUUACUGGGUGUAAAGCGCGAGCAGGCGGUCGUGUAAGUUGGGUGUGAAAGCUCCUGGCUUAACUGGGAGAGGUCGCUCAAGACUGCACGACUAGAGCAUGGUAGAGGAAGGUGGAAUUCCGGGUGUAGUGGUGAAAUGCGUAGAGAUCCGGAGGAACACCAGUGGCGAAAGCGGCCUUCUGGGCCAUGACUGACGCUCAGACGCGAAAGCCAGGGGAGCAAACGGGAUUAGAAACCCUAGUAGUCC
rnacentral:rRNA from 1 species